rnacentral:rRNA from 1 species
UGGGGAAUAUUGCACAAUGGGGGAAACCCUGAUGCAGCGACGCCGCGUGGAGGAAGAAGGUCUUCGGAUUGUAAACUCCUGUUGUUGAGGAAGAUAAUGACGGUACUCAACAAGGAAGUGACGGCUAACUACGUGCCAGCAGCCGCGGUAAAACGUAGGUCACAAGCGUUGUCCGGAAUUACUGGGUGUAAAGGGAGCGCAGGCGGGAAGACAAGUUGGAAGUGAAAUCCAUGGGCUCAACCCAUGAACUGCUUUCAAAACUGUUUUUCUUGAGUAGUGCAGAGGUAGGCGGAAUUCCCGGUGUAGCGGUGGAAUGCGUAGAUAUCGGGAGGAACACCAGUGGCGAAGGCGGCCUACUGGGCACCAACUGACGCUGAGGCUCGAAAGUGUGGGUAGCAAACAGGAUUAGAUACCCUGGUAGUCCACACUGUAAACGAUGAUUACUAGGUGUUGGAGGAUUGACCCCUUCAGUGCCGCAGUUAACACAAUAAGUAAUCCACCUGGGGAGUACGACCGCAAGGUUGAAACUCAAAGGAAUUGACGGGGGCCCGCACAAGCAGUGGAGUAUGUGGUUUAAUUCGACGCAACGCGAAGAACCUUACCAAGUCUUGACAUCCUGCGACGGUGCUGGAAACAGAACUUUCCUUCGGGACGCAGAGACAGGUGGUGCAUGGUUGUCGUCAGCUCGUGUCGUGAGAUGUUGGGUUAAGUCCCGCAACGAGCGCAACCCUUAUGGUCAGUUACUACGCAAGAGGACUCUGGCCAGACUGCCGUUGACAAAACGGAGGAAGGUGGGGAUGACGUCAAAUCAUCAUGCCCUUUAUGACUUGGGCUACACACGUACUACAAUGGCGUUAAACAAAGAGAAGCAAGACCGCGAGGUGGAGCAAAACUCAGAAACAACGUCCCAGUUCGGACUGCAGGCUGCAACUCGCCUGCACGAAGUCGGAAUUGCUAGUAAUCGCAGAUCAGCAUGCUGCGGUGAAUACGUUCCC